rnacentral:rRNA from 1 species
AUGAACGCUGACAGAAUGCUUAACACCUGCAAGUCGAUGGGGAAGUGGUGCUUGCACCAUGGUAACCAUGGCGGACGGGUGAGUAGCGCGUAAGGAACUUGCCUGCGGGACUGGGAUAACAGCAGGAAACUGCUGAUAAUACCGGAUAAGGUCAUUAAGCUGCAUAGCUUAGUGAUGAAAGGAGACGCCUGCGGAGAGCCUUGCGUCCUAUUAGCUAGUUGGAGGGGUAACGGCCCACCAAGGCGAAGAUAGGUAGCCGGCCUGAGAGGGUGGACGGCCACAAGGGGACUGAGAUACGGCCCUUACUCCUACGGGAGGCAGCAGUGGGGAAUAUUGGACAAUGGGGGCAACCCUGAUCCAGCAAUUCUGUGUGCACGAAGACGGUUUUCGGAUUGUAAAGUGCUUUCAGCAGGGAAGAAGGAAGUGACGGUACCUGCAGAAGAAGCGACGGCUAAAUACGUG